UAAGUAAAUACUUUUUUUUUUUAACCUGGUUUGAUCAUUGUUAUUUUCUAUUCUCUUAAAGUCUCCCCACUCUCUGAAAUUGUAUAAGCUUCAGACCCAAGAAACCUGGUUUUGAGGCUGAUGAGGAAUUUCAUAAAGCCAUAUCAAGCAUAAACCUGACAAAUUUAAAGUCAGAUCACAGGGUGUAAAGCAGUUGCAGAAAACACACAGUCUCCGGCUGACAUUGAGGGCUUGGAGACGCACACUGGUCCCUCGUGGUGGGAAUUCAUCUACGCAAAUCCUCCUGCUUGGGAUGAGGAGCCAGAGCUCCACGGUAACUGAACAUUCCAAGAAAAGC
rnacentral:lncRNA from 1 species